AACGAACGCUGGCGGCAUGCCUAACACAUGCAAGUCGAACGAGACCUUCGGGUCUAGAGGCGCACGGGUGCGUAACGCGUGGGAAUCUGCCCUUGGGUUCGGAAUAACAGUUAGAAAUGACUGCUAAUACCGGAUAAUGUCUUCGGACCAAAGAUUUAUCGCCCAGGGAUGAGCCCCGCGUAGGAUUAGCUAGUUGGUGAGGUAAAGGCUCACCAAGGCGACGAUCCUUAGCUGGUCUGAGAGGAUGAUCAGCCACACUGGGACUGAGACACGGCCCAGACUCCUACGGGAGGCAGCAGUGGGGAAUAUUGGACAAUGGGCGAAAGCCUGAUCCAGCAAUGCCGCGUGAGUGAUGAAGGCCUUAGGGUUGUAAAGCUCUUUUACCCGGGAUGAUAAUGACAGUACCGGGAGAAUAAGCCCCCGGCUAACUCCGUGCCAGCAGCCGCGGU
rnacentral:rRNA from 1 species